ACUUUUGCCCUGGCGACCGAUUCCACUCCUCUCGUCUCGGGACUCCCACUCCUCUCGCGUUCCUCUCUCCGACAGCCCCAAAUCCCUAGCUCACCCACUCCUCCCUAGUGUCGUUGCUGCCGCCUCCCACUCGCCGGCAUCGUUGAGCCUCCCUCUAGCCGGUGUCUCCUCUCCCAUUCCCCUCGCUCACCUACUCCCCUCCAAAGAUGGCGUCGUCCCCUCUGCCCGUCUGGUGUCCUCGCCUAUCUUCCAAAGAUUGCUUUUUUUUACUCCAACGCAUCUGAAGCGGUGAUGGGUACUUGUGCGGAGGCGGCGGAGGCAGCGGCGGCGCUGUAUCUAAAGAGGGCACCAUAGCAGCAAUGGCAGCAUUGGAUCUGAAGCGGUUGACGGCACCGUUGCGGCGGGAGGAGCAAUUAUGGCGAGCACUACCACGACGAUCUGCUUUUUUGCUUGUGAGGAACAAAGGGAACAAAAGGAGUACUGCUCUAGUGAUGCUCUACUGACUUGCUGUACAUUUGUGGGAAUAACUUGAUUUCUUCUUGUACAUUUUCAGUUAAAAGAUGUUUGGUGUAUGCUUGCUUGUUGUACAUGAUGGAGGAUUAUUGGAGUAAUUUGAGUAAGCAUUUUUUCUGUUUGCGUUGUUGCAGUCCAAGACGAUUGAUCGAUGCAGCUGCUACCUGCUGCUGCUGUAUGCACCAUGUCUGAAGAAGACCCCUCUGUGGACCGAACUCUCUGGAGUACUCCUGGAUCUUCUGGCCAAGGAGGAGCACAGCGAGUAGCAGCCUGGGCACUGACUAGGAGGCGUUGGGGCCUGGGCGAGCCUGGGAGGAGGCGUUGGGGCCUAGGCGAGGAGGCGCUAGGCGCAGCGAGCCUGGGAGAGGAGCCGAUGGGCGUAGCGAGCUGGAGGCGCUGGGUCGAGGAACUGCUGGUGCUGGGCGAUGGCGACGUGCAGGAGCUGCUGGUGCUGGGCGACGGUGACGUGCAGGAGCUGCUAGGAGAUGCGCCUGGAGCUCGUGGGCGUUGGGCGCUGGGUGCGGCGAGGCGGCAAGCGCUACGCGUGGGGAAGAACCGAGGGCAUGGUGCCAUGGUCUCGUGGGUGCCUAGUGCCAUGGACGCGUGGGUGAUUUUGAAUUUGAAUUUCUGAGAAGGAUUGAGGAAGACGAUCGCGGGGAAGACGAUCGCAGGGGUAGAAACGUCCUUCUGACAGAAAUCGGUGCUGUCGGAAUUUUGAAAAUGCUCCUACAUUUCAGGACGGAGUGAUUGAGUGUUGGGGACACUAUCAUUUGAAGCACAAGAGCAAGGAGUUCAUCAUGAACAACACCAUCUAUUACCUUUUGCAAAGUGGUGUCUCUUAGAUUGGUUAGGUGUCACUUGGGAGCCUCCAAGAUAUUGUGGAGUUGAAUCAAGGAGUUUGUAAGGGCAAGCAGAUCGCCUACUUCAUGAGAAUCUACCCGAGUGAGGCUAGUACUUCGUGGGCGUAAGCCAUGAUGGAAAAGACAAGGUUGAUUCUUCAUGGGUGGAGCCCUCCAUAGACUCGCGCAAAUGUUACCCUCUAUGGGUUGAAGUCGCCAUCAAUGUGGAUUUACGAUAGCACCACCUAUCGGAACCAUGACAAAAAUCAUCGUAUCC
rnacentral:rRNA from 1 species